AGGCUGUCAAUGGGGCAUGUUGGUUGUGCUGGUGGUGGAUAUGGCACCACUGGUGGUGGUGGUGGUGGUGGACAUGGUGUUUCACUUGGAGGGUUUGGUGGAGUCACAAUGGGUGGUAAUGGUGGCACAGGGACUACAGGUGGAUACACAAUAGGUGGUGUCACAAUUGGUGGUGUUGGUACUACAGGUGGAUAAACAAUGGGUGGUUUUGGCACAUAAGGUGGUGUAACUGGCACAACUGGUGGUUUUGGGAUAUAUGGUGGUCUAACUGGGACAACAGGUGGUUUUGGGACAUAAGGAGGGUUCACAAUUGGUGGUUUUGGAACAUAUGGUGGUGUAACUGGCACAACUGGUGGUUUUGGGACAUAGGGAGGGUUCACAACUGGUGGCUUCGGGACAUAGGGUGGUUUAACAACUGGUGGUUUUGGGACAUAAGGUGGAUGUGGAUGCAGUGGAGGCUUAGGGUGAGGUUUUGGGACAUGGGGUGGAUGUGGAUGAACUGGUGGUUUAGGGUAGUGAGGAGGUUUUGGGACAUAGGGUGGGUGUACAUGGGGUGGUUUUGGAGAUGACUUGGGUGGUGGACAUGGUUUUGGUUGUUUGUGAACUGGUGGUUUCACAAUGGGAGGCUUUUUUGGAGGAGGCUUGGGAGAUGGGUAAGGGCAAUAGGGACAAGCAAGAACAUUGAGCAAAGUGCUCAAGUUCAAGAGAAGGACCAAGAGGACAUUGGCUAGGGCAAUCUUUCCCAUGGGUAGGUAG
rnacentral:lncRNA from 1 species